AUGCGGCGGGAAGAAGUGGCAUUUAGAAGUGUUGCUGACUUUACAUUUAGGUUUCGGCAUAACAAAGCUUGCACUGUCUUUUCGCACUUAGGCGCACAGCGUGCCGUUGGUAAUGAUUCUACUACGGUGCUGCAAAUUCGCAAGCUGAUCCUAAGUAAUCGUUGUUGUUCAUUGGAUUCCUCCGGAAUUACUUCGUUAGGAUUGAAGAAUUGCAGCAAUUCUUCCUGA
rnacentral:rRNA from 1 species